rnacentral:rRNA from 1 species
UACAGAGGUCUCAAGCGUUGUUCGGAUUCAUUGGGCGUAAAGGGUGCGUAGGCGGCGCGGUAAGUCGGGUGUGAAAUCUCGGAGCUUAACUCCGAAACUGCAUUCGAUACUGCCGUGCUUGAGGACUGGAGAGGAGACUGGAAUUCACGGUGUAGCAGUGAAAUGCGUAGAUAUCGUGAGGAAGACCAGUGGCGAAGGCGGAUCUCUGGACAGUUCCUGACGCUGAGGCGCGAAGGCCAGGGGAGCAAACGGG